UACGAGAGGCCCAACCGUUAUUCGGAUUUACUGGGCUUAAAGAGUUCGUAGGCCGCGCGGAAAGUAGGGUGUGAAAGCCCUCGGCUCAACCGAGGAACUGCGCUCUAAACUACCGUGCUUGAGGAACCUAGAGGUGAGCAGAACUGAUGGUGGAGCGGUGAAAUGCGCAGAUAUCAGGAGGAACACCGGUGGCGAAGGCGGGACUCUGGGCCGAUACUGACGCUGAGGAGCGAAAGCGUGGGGAGCAAACAGG
rnacentral:rRNA from 1 species